rnacentral:rRNA from 1 species
AGUGAACGCUGGCGGUAGGCCUAACACAUGCAAGUCGAACGGCAGCACAGUAAGAGCUUGCUCUUACGGGUGGCGAGUGGCGGACGGGUGAGGAAUACAUCGGAAUCUACUUUUUCGUGGGGGAUAACGUAGGGAAACUUACGCUAAUACCGCAUACGACCUACGGGUGAAAGCAGGGGAUCUUCGGACCUUGCGCGAUUGAAUGAGCCGAUGUCGGAUUAGCUAGUUGGCGGGGUAAAGGCCCACCAAGGCGACGAUCCGUAGCUGGUCUGAGAGGAUGAUCAGCCACACUGGAACUGAGACACGGUCCAGACUCCUACGGGAGGCAGCAGUGGGGAAUAUUGGACAAUGGGCGCAAGCCUGAUCCAGCCAUACCGCGUGGGUGAAGAAGGCCUUCGGGUUGUAAAGCCCUUUGUUGGGAAAGAAAAGCAGCAGGUUAAUACCCCGCUGUUCUGACGGUACCCAAAGAAUAAGCACCGGCCAACUUCGUG